UGAGUAAUGUCUGGGAAACUGCCUGAUGGAGGGGGAUAACUACUGGAAACGGUAGCUAAUACCGCAUAACGUCGCAAGACCAAAGAGGGGGACCUUCGGGCCUCUUGCCAUCGGAUGCGCCCAGAUGGGAUUAGCUAGUAGGUGGGGUAACGGCUCACCUAGGCGACGAUCCCUAGCUGGUCUGAGAGGAUGACCAGCCACACUGGAACUGAGACACGGUCCAG
rnacentral:rRNA from 1 species